rnacentral:lncRNA from 1 species
AUUACCUGUAGGCAUUGUAGAGGUUCCGUUUCUCAUUCAUGCCCUCGCACCAGCCCUGGGCCGAGCAGGGCAGGCUGAAGUUCCUGGCUGGAAACUCUAGCGUGCAGUCGGCACUGCUGGUGCACGGUGUCUCUUCCACGCGGGCAUCAUCCAGGCAUGGCCAGAAACUCUAUGGGUUUGUUCUCUCUGCUGCGGCACCCCAAGUCCUGGAAUCCCUCUCAGUA